CCUACGGGAGGCAGCAGUGAGGAAUAUUGGUCAAUGGGCGCAAGCCUGAACCAGCCAAGUCGCGUGAGGGAGGAAUGCCCUGUGGAUUGUAAACCUCUUUUGUAAGGGAAGAAUAAUGACUACGUGUCGUCAGAUGACCGUACCUUAUGAAUAAGCAUCGGCUAACUCCGUGCCAGCAGCCGCGGUAAUACGGAGGAUGCGAGCGUUAUCCGGAUUUAUUGGGUUUAAAGGGUGCGUAGGCGGUCUUUUAAGUUAGUGGUAAAACGUCGGGGCUUCACCCUGAUUGGCCAUUAAAACUGGAGUACUAGAGUACAGACGAGGUAGGCGGAAUAAGCUAAGUAGCGGUGAAAUGCUUAGAUAUAACUUAGAACCCCGAUAGCGAAGGCAGCUUACCAGACUGUCACUGACGCUGAAGCACGAGAGCGUGGGUAGCGAACAGGAUUAGAUACCCGGGUAGUC
rnacentral:rRNA from 1 species